GCAGGGAUAGCCAAGCCCGGCCAAAUGAUUUUCCCAGCGGUGGGGAAUCAUGCUAUCGGCGCAGGACUUAAGAUCCUGUCUCGUAGGAGUACGAGGGUUCGAUCAGAUUUUUAGGAAAAUCUAUUCUGGAAAAAAAGACCACAUUAUCUAAAUGUAGUCUGAAAAUCCCCCUCCCUGCACCA
rnacentral:tRNA from 1 species